AUCAAAAUGUGUUUAAUGUAUAUUAUCAUCAUUAUUGUUUUUAAUAUAUUCAUUGUUUAUAUAUAUUUUAUAGUAAUUUUUAAUACAUAAAAAAUUUUAAUUAUAUGAAAACCGGCAGAACAGAGUCCUUACUUAACUUAAGAUAAACUCUUAUUAUUUUAUAACCAGUGGUGUAGGGCUAAAAAAAAAAAAAAGAAGUACCAGAAUGCUUUCUAUAUAUGUACAUAGAAUGCUACCUAUACAUGUAUAGAAGAAACUAUACAUAUAUGGAGGAGGUCAGAAUAAAGUUUGCAGAGUUGUGUGUGAUAGCAGUAUAUGUAUUCAUGGUAUACAUACAUAUUUCGUUGUAUUCUCUCUCUCUCUUUGUGUGUAGUUUAAUAAGUCCCUAUGUGUACAUUAAUAAUUUGAAGUUCAUAACUUCAAAUUAAGAUAAAAUUAAUUUAAUGGAAUUAUUUAAUUAAGCUCAAAGAUAUAACAGAUGUAAUAUAUUCUAACAAAUUGUGCUGGUACAUGUUUUGAUCGUGGAAAAGAAUAUUGGAACGACAUUCUGGUGUGUUCGGGCACUACUACACCACUGUUUAUAACUGUAAAGUAAUGAAUGUUCUUUUUAGAAUAAAAUUAUCAUACAUCCUUGUUAAGAUAUUUUUUAUAUAUAAAUAUCUGGUCAGGCUUUUAAAUACU
rnacentral:lncRNA from 1 species